rnacentral:rRNA from 1 species
GAUGAACGUUGGCGGUGUGCCUAAUACAUGCAAGUCGAACGGAGUUAGUAGCAAUACUGGCUCAGUGGCGAACGGGUGAGUAACGCGUUGGUGAUCUGCCUUGAAGUGUGGAAUAACGUUUCGAAAGGAACGCUAAUACCGCAUGUGCUCUCGAUUUUCAGAAAGUUGAGAGUAAAGGAUUUAUUCGCUUCAAGAGGAGCCUGCGUCCCAUCAGCUGGUUGGUAGGGUAACGGCCUACCAAGGCUAUGACGGGUAGGGGACCUGAGAGGGUGGCCCCCCACAAUGGAACUGAAACACGGUCCAUACACCUACGGGUGGCAGCAGUAGGGAAUAUUAGAAAUGGACGAAAGUCUGAUCUAGCAACACCGCGUGUGCGAAGAAGGCCUUCGGGUCGUAAAGCACUUUUUGGAAGGAAUAGGAAGGAAUGUACUUCCAGAAUAAGUCUCGGCUAACUACGUGCCAGCCGCCGCAGUAA